CUCUCUCUCUUUCUCUCUCUCUCAAAAAUAAAUGUUAAAAAACAAUUAAAAAAAAUCUGUUCGUGGACCCACAGAAUUCAAACCCAUGUAUGUUUAAAGGUCCACUGUACUUGAUUGUUUUGGUCUGUCUUGUUAGAGAUUUUCCUCAGCUAUCUGGUGACCCUGGUCUGACCAGUCAUAUUACUUAAAGGUAGACAUUAGUAAGUGGGUUAGAUACUAUGAUUACACGAGUGGGCUUGUCCACCACAAGCUUCACUGGAAGGCUGUGUUUUUCAACUUCUGCCCGUGACAAUCACCUGGGGAGUUUUUACAACCGUGAUGCCUGACCCCUCCCUGACUAAUGAAAUCAGAAUCUCUGGAAGGCUGGGCUCUGGGAUUGGUUUGUUUUUAAAACUCCCCAGGGAGGUCUAAUUGCAGGUGAAGUUGAGAAUCCUGCUGCAGGGCGAUCCAGUUCAGCUGUCUUGGAAUGGCAAUAGUAGCAGAAACAAAGGGGUUUAAAUCUGAAGAAUGAGACUCACACGGCAGAUUUCAGGGACCACGAGUCUGGCAUCAAUAUGACAUUUCCUCUCCUGGGUUUGAUACUUGGCAUCAUCACAGCUGCUCAGAGAGGCGGAGGGAAUGGCUGAGGGUGUGCGCUCCAGCCCCUCCCUGAAGUCACCUACAGACCGUCCCUGCACACUGGCGACUUCCUGCGUCUCUUUCCGAGGCUGCUCUCUGGCUGGGGUGUGUGCUGGCCUGUGUGCACAGCUAGUAUGAAGUGCUGGGGAACUGACACCGUGGAGCCUUCCCCAGAUCUCCAACCACUUGGUGGGGGGGAGGGGGAUGGUAGAUGAAUGCCUGGCUUCUGCGCUCUCAGUGGGACAGCUCUGGGAGCUCCCUGUGGGUUGAGCCCCCGCAGUCAGCACUUCCUGACGUACCUCUUGUUGGCCUUCCUCCCUUCCCUGCCCUACCUCCCUGCUUCAGGAGCCAUGUCCCAGACAAACUACCUGUACCCACGCCCUUCGUCAUGGUCUGCUUUUGGGGACCCCCACAAAGUGCUAAGUAGUAAAACCAAGAUUUGGCCAGCUCAGGCUGACUCUGAAUCCCCUCCUCAUAUUGGUAGUUUUGGGUCUGUGGAAACUUGAAGGUCAAGACCAGAAUCUAGGUCUGGUUUGUUUAUGGCCCAGAUGUGGGAUUUCAGUGUGGCCUGGAUAGCCUUUCAACAGACAUUUGCCCACUAGAUGUAUUUCCUUCCACUCCAGACCUCAAGGAGAGCCCUGCCUCUUGCCUGGGGGCAGGUUGUUGGCCGUAGGAUGUUGGGGAGGCAAAUUCGGGAGGUGCCACCCCUCUGGUCACUCAUGCUUCUUUCUCUUUCCCGAGCUUGUCCUGGCCCCGCCUGGCAUCCUAGCUACUACUUUCAGGCUCCGUGAACUUGACAGGAAAAAGGAGGUUUUCUCCUAAAGGUGUGACCAGCGAAACCGGAUAACUGUCUGCAGGCACCGUGCGGAUGUGAAUGGUGUGCAUACUCCGGUCACUACCCUGGAGGUCCAAAAUUGGCUCGGGAAACCGGAUAAGCCUCCAAAGAACAAUCGCGUCUAUAGCAGCUCAAGAGAGGAGACUGGAGUAGUCCAGGGAGAAUUUCUGGAGAGGAUAGAAAGGUCACUUAGGCCUUGGCAGGGAAUAGAGGGGGCCCCCAAUGGGGUCCCUGAGGUCCCUGCACUUAGGGACCACUCACAGAGGGGAGUAUGGGGAAGAAAGAAAUCCCCCUGGGAAGGGGUGCUCACCACUCCUGGCUAGAAGGUCAAGGCCAGCUAGUGGUAUCAGAGCCUGGAGUGGAGCAGCCCACCUCAUCUGGAGCUGUUGGCCUGAGGGUGGGGGGUUGUGCACUGCUCUUCUGUAGCCGAGGACUCCAUUCUCUGACUACCCGUCCUGUCACCCUCUGGCUCUUGCUGGGACCUCCAUGCGAUGAGCCCAGCUGGAAGUCGAGGCACGCAGGGCAGGGCGGGGGAGGCCAGGAAGACAUCCAUCUAGUAGGGCUUCCGUGGAUCCUUGCCCAUAGUUGCAUCUGAGUAAUGUCUAGUACACAGAGGCCUGUUUUCACAAUCCUACUGUUCCUGUUCAAUCAGAAAAUGCACCAGUCCCAGAACUCCGUGUGUGGCUUUCUUUCCGACUGGAUGCCUCCCUUUCUCUAAAUGUAAAACAUUUGAACAGUCCCGCAUUUGGAGUGAUUGCUCCUUCUGUUCCUUUGCUUGUACCUCCCUGACCUUGAAAGAGCCAUUUUCCAGGACUGUUGCUAAUGGACCUUCACAUGAUGGCGAUAAAAUAUCCUGGCGCUCGGAGAAAAGAGAGGAGAAGCCCUCUUGAGUGAUUCUUCACAUUAUCCAAUGUCUUAUGAAAUGGCCCAGGUGACGGAUUCCCUCAGCCGUACUCCUGUGGCACCUUGGCCCCAUUUGUUUGGCCCCCACCUAAUGCUGGGAAUGAUGCUGUUUUAAAAUACCCUUUUUGCAAAACCCACCUCAAGUAAUGUCAUGGCCAACGGCUGACCCCCGGGGAGGCUUCACCAACCCACUGUGUGGGGAGGAUCCUGUGAGUAGAUGCAUUGGAAAUGUUCAGUGAGUUUUCUGAGACCUGAAAGAUGCCUUUAACUAGGAAGCUGGAUCUUUGAGCUCCUGUGCUUGUCAUUUCCCUUCACUUCCAGCAUGUAGCCAAUCUUGGAGCUUGCUGCCUGUCCAGAAGUCCUGAUGUUCAGAUUCCCAGCUGUUAGCUGCUUACUCCCUCCUGGUUAGAGGGUGGAAAUGAAUCCUUGCAGGACCAGCCUCUCAAACCUGGACUGGGAAUGAGUGACUGCUUGGUUGGAGGCCUUGGCUGUUGUCUAAGCACCGUCUAGCAGCUGCAGGAGGAUUCCUUGGGGUGAGCCACUGUGGGGUGCCAGUGGGGCUUUGAACCGCCUCUGAGCCACGUCUGCAGAGGGUGUGAGUGCAGGAUGCAGCGUUCUUGUGGGGUUUGAGAUCCACGCUUAGGUAGGACAGGCUGUGAUGCCAGGAGCCUUGUCCCAGGGCUGUAGCGUUCCCCAUCUGCUGAUAGAAGACCUUGGUUCCCUCCAGCUUUGGCCUCUAACUUCCUGGGGACCCUAGACAAGUAUCCUUUGUCCUUCAUGUUUCUCAUUAGCAAAGUGAGGUCCCCACUGGACCUGACAGCACAGCUGGGCUGUCACCAGGGUCCCUUUGCUCGUGACCCAGUCCCAGACCAGUAACCGUGGCUCAGAGUACCAGAGGAUGCCUCUACCAUGAGCCCAGUACUCCUGCAGUGUGGUUUUGAUGAGCUCCUCACUCACUGGGCAGGGACCCGAGGAGGAACUUUGACCUUGCUUAAGGUCUACUCAUUGGAAGGGUGGGGACCGAGGUCAGCACUUCUUAAAAAUUUUUUUUUUUCAACGUUUAUUUAUUUUUGGGACA